rnacentral:rRNA from 1 species
UAAAGUGGCGAACGGCUGAGUAACACGUGGGCAACCUGCCCUUUGCACUGGGAUAGCCUCGGGAAACCGAGGUUAAUACCGGAUACUCCAUAUUUGUCGCAUGGCGAAUAUGGGAAAGCUCCGGCGGCAAAGGAUGGGCCCGCGGCCUGUUAGCUAGUUGGUGGGGUAGUGGCCUACCAAGGCAAUGAUGGGUAGCCGGGUUGAGAGACCGACCGGCCAGAUUGGGACUGAGACACGGCCCAGACUCCUACGGGAGGCAGCAGUU